rnacentral:rRNA from 1 species
UACAGAGGGGGCAAGCGUUAUUCGGAAUUAUUGGGCGUAAAGGGCGCGUAGGCGGCCUGGCAAGUGGAAGGUGAAAUCCCGUCGGCUUAACCGAGGAACUGCCCUCCAAACUGCCCUGGCUUGAGUCCGGGAGAGGUGAGUGGAAUUCCCAGUGUAGCGGUGAAAUGCGUAGAUAUUGGGAGGAACACCAGUGGCGAAGGCGGCUCACUGGACCGGAACUGACGCUGAGGCGCGAAAGCGUGGGGGAGCAAACGGG